UCGUGUUCACGGCCAGGCUCUGCAGGUCUAGCUCGACACACACUGACAAACAGAACAUUGGAAAAUUAACAUUCGUUCCUCCCAUUGACGGAAAGAUUGUAUCCCAGCAGAGACAUCAGAUUCAUUGGCUUUUGCUUGAUCUUAGCAAGGGACAAAAAUGUUAUCGCCUUUCAAAUUUCAAUAGUCUAUACUGGAUUGCAUGAAGAGAUGUUAGGAACACCGGUCGUCACUUUCCAUAACCAUACGGCUGUCAUCUGCCUCUUUGCCUCCCAUGUCGGGCCUUGCCGUGGGGGAGAGCCAAAGCAGGUGGUUGUGUUUCCGCAGAUGUCUGGCCAGGAAUAAGUCAGAACCAAAGAUAGACACAUCCUGGGGCAGGUUCCCUACAGGUGGCGGCGGCCCCAGGACCUCUCGCCAGGAUUGAGUGAGCUCAAGAUCCUGAGACUCGACCUGGCUGUUAUCCCCCUGAGACGCUCGCUUCCUUUUUGUGCUGAUGGGAAUGGCCGGCUGCAGAGGCCUGGCUGGCAUCCCAAAGUCCUCCAUGUCAGAAACUUGACGGCUUGUGAGGGGCUGAUGAGCCACCUGAAGGAGAACCACAAAUAUUCAACCCCCAAAGUAUUUCCUUUACACAUUCUGGGAGCAUAAUAGACUUGUAUUUACUGUUGAUGUCUCGGUCUUUUGUUUAAUUCCUAACAGGAUACCUUACCCAAUAAAGAUUUAAGGAGUUUUCUUGCUGUGAGGUAACCUACCUGCCUCUUGCCUUCACUGGUGAACAAUUCGCUGAUUUUCUUUUGCUUGUAGAUGUCAUUUUUCUCAAGAAGUUUCUUGUGAAGCCAGUCGGGAUGUUGCACUCGUGGAACCGGAUUCUUCACCUAAUCAUUAACACAAGGUAAACAGACGAUACAGAGAUGAGAAAAUAAAUGUUGUUUUAUUUAAAAUGUAAAUAAGGUAGUUAAAACAUAAUUAUUUUCAGUGUUACCCACAGGACGGAAAUGUAUAUAUGAUGCAAAAUGAUAUAAUUGUGUCAUAAUUGCAAAACUGUCCAUGAGGUAAAACUCAUUGUGUGUGGACUAAGAA